rnacentral:rRNA from 1 species
GACGAACGCUGGCGGCGUGCUUAACACAUGCAAGUCGAACGGAAAGGCCCUGCGUUUGUGGGGUGCUCGAGUGGCGAACGGGUGAGUAACACGUGAGUAAACCCUCCUUGACUUUGGGAUAACUUUAGGAAACUGGGGCUCAUACCGGAUAGGAUCUUCUGCUGCAUGUGGGGGGUUGGAAAGAUUCGGCGGUUGGGGAUGGACUCGCGGGUUACCAGCUUGUUGGUGAGGUAGGGGCUUACCAAGGUUUUGACGGGUAGCCGGCCUGGGAGGGUUGCCGGCCACAUUGGGACUGAGAUACGGCGCAGACUCCUACGGGAGGCAGCAGUGGGGAAUAUUGCACAAUGGGCGGAAGCCAGAUGCAGCAACGCCGCGUGCGGGAUAACGGCCUUCGGGUUGUAAACCGCUUUCGCCUGUGACGAAGCGUGAGUGACGGUAAUGGGUAAAGAAGCACCGGCUAACUACGUG